rnacentral:rRNA from 1 species
CCUACGGGUGGCAGCAGUGAGGAAUAUUGGUCAAUGGCCGAGAGGCUGAACCAGCCAAGUCGCGUGAGGGAAGACGGCCCUACGGGUUGUAAACCUCUUUUGUCGGGGAGCAAAGCGAACCACGUGUGGUUCAUUGAGAGUACCCGAAGAAAAAGCAUCGGCUAACUCCGUGCCAGCAGCCGCGGUAAUACGGAGGAUGCGAGCGUUAUCCGGAUGUAUUGGGUUGAAGGGUGCGCAGGCGGAGGUGCAAGUCAGCGGUCAAAUUGCGGGGCUCAACCCCGUACUGCCGUUGAAACUACAUCCCUUGAGUGCGCGAGAAGUAUGCGGAAUGCGGGGUGUAGCGGUGAAAUGCAUAGAGAUCACGCAGAACUCCGAUUGCGAAGGCAGCAUACCGGCGCGCAACUGACGCUCAUGCACGAAAGCGUGGGUAUCGAACAGGAUUAGAUACCCCAGUAGUC